rnacentral:lncRNA from 1 species
CAGAAGAGGGUGUCAGAUACCCUGGAACUGCAGUUACAUACCUGGUCAUGGGACACCAUGAAGGUCCUGCGAAUUGAAUUUGGUUCCUCUGGAAGAGCAGCCAACACUCUAAAUGCUGAGCCUUUGCUCCAUUGCUGCUGCACAUAUUUUCUUCAUCAACAUCUGUCAGGAACAUUGAUUACGGGCUUCCGCAUGGUUUCCAGUGACAGCACAGACCACAAACAUGCCAUCCAGCUACAGAAGAAACAAAGACCCAGACAAGGCCCUCAGAGGCAGCCUGGACCACUAGCAUCAACAUGGCCUCAGGUGACAGUGUAGCGCACUCACCUCAAUAUGAUCCCUGGUAGCAACACUGCUCAUAGAUAACAUGGCCCCAGGAUGCAGCAUAGAGAAAUCUGAGACCUGGGACCCAGACAUGGCCCUUGGCAGCAGCAUGAUCUGGACAUCACCAUGGCCCCAGGUGUCAGUGCAGACCACCGAUACCAAAAUGGCCCCUGGUGGUAGCAUGGCCAUGGACAUAAAUACAUCAUCAGGUUGUAGCACGGAGCAUGCACAUCCUUAUAGCCUUGGAUGGUAACACAGACCACAGACCAACAUGGCCUUGGUCAUAUCAGGACUCACUCAUGGCACUUAGCAGUAGUACAAACCUUAUGCCUCAACAUGGCCUUAGGUGGCUACACAAGCCAUUCACAUCAACACUUCUCUCUUCAAAUGGGCUUCAAUUAGCAGCAGACUGCAUAUGUUCAC